rnacentral:lncRNA from 1 species
CAAAUUUGUGUUGAGUGGGAUGAGCAGGCCCCUGUCGGGGUUCGAGGGGCCUCAAACAUCGCAGGCCCGCACCUGCAAUGACCCCCAAAGAAACCAAACCUAAAGGCCAGUGGGCGUGGAUUGCCAGGGCCCCACAGUUGAAUGUAGUUUUGAUUAAAGAAAGUGGGCCGGAU